UUAAUUUGCCCGAUAUGCUUAAUCUCGCUUGGCUAUCUGGGUAACUUUUAUAGUGCCUUAUUACUAUAAUACCGCAUAUUUAUUGGUGCCGCCAUGUUCUAGGCAAGCCAAUCCCCGCGAACUGCCAUGAUGUCCAAUCUCUUUUUCUAGUUACCAGUGGCUCGCGGCACUAACUCGUGUUAAAUGAAAAUAUUUAUAGUGUGAAGUUAAAAUUGAUUAUUUCUGGGCCGGAUAUCUAUUUGGGGAGUGUAAAGAAGAAGAAAAAGAAAUUGAUUUUUUAACGAUUUGUCAGUAGGCCUAUUCUGUAACAUUUUUAAUAACAAUUUUUUUUGUAUAUACAGAAAAAGUUUUUUCUGUAUAUACAGAAUAUGCUUACAAGCAAGUCGCACGUUGCGUUUCUUUACCACACACACAUUCAGGUAAUUAUAAUAAAAUAAAAUAACUUUUUGACAUUUGUUACACAGUUGUGAAAUAAUAGUUCCUUUAUUUUUUGCUACAGGUUGCAGAAAGAGUGUACAUUUGGAACGAAUUUAUAACCAUCAUUAUAUAAAAUUAGCAAGGAACAUUGGAACUAAAUGAUUGUAGCUGUUAUUUAUUACAGAAUUAAGUGAAAUUAUUUUAAUUUAAUUUUUAAUUUAACUUUCGGUUGUCACAUACACAUAUCCAUCCCAGCGCCCAACCAAUGUCAGGAAAACCCCAGCAUCCUCCACAUCUGGAUCAUUUCAAUCAGCACUGAUGACAAAAGGAAGCUGGCUGUCCUAGAAUGGUUCAGACGUGAUAGAGGAUCUUUCUAUGUCAGAGCAUCCCAGGCAUUGGUUGGGCACUGUGAUGGAUGUGUGAGUGUAGCGGAAGAGUGUGUCAAAGGAUAAAAGCAAUUUCCACUCCUUGAUAGUUGUAAACUCAAAAAUCCUGAUUUGAUUUGAAUGACCCACACAGUAUAUACUUAGAUUAAAUACUCUAUUGCAGCAGAGGAAAAUGACCACAGGCCGAGGAAAAAGAAGAAGAAUGUUUGAUAGUUUUAUUAUUAUGAAGUUUUGAGAAUGAUGAAGAAUGGAAAGAAUACAGCUGUCUGGUGGAAACCUAGAACCUCAAUGCAUCCUAGCAGAGGCGGUUUUUGACGAGGAGUAGCAAAUAAUCCAUACAGUCUGCAAACACCUUCAGGAAUGGAUGUUGGUCUCUCAUAACUCAUAGGUAGCUCAGAUUGGCAUAUGGAUAUGAAGUAUAGGUAUUCGUGUGACUUUCAUGAUGAUUCUGCACUCGCUGGACAACAAGCAGACAUCCAAGAAAUUUCAGUAAGUGAUUGUGUGUCAAUUCUGAUUUAGUGUAGGAUAUUGUAAUAUGUAAUAAUAUGCGAUAUUUUAUAUGCUACUUUUUGUUUUCAUUUUAGAUGAAGACCAUGAAGCUAUCGGCAUUUUAGUUUUGAUUGACAAUUAAAAGUGAAAAUUCUAAAUGUAAGCAUUAGAAAUAAUUGUUUGUAGAGAUCAUACCGAUAUAAUAAUGUGAUAAAUGUAUUUAGAUUUAGAUUAUUAAUUAUAUAUUAUGAUUUGAAAAAUUGAAAAAAAGAAAGCAUUGUACUAACGUAAAA